GAUGAACGCUAGCUACAGGCUUAACACAUGCAAGUCGAGGGGCAGCAUGACCUAGCAAUAGGUUGAUGGCGACCGGCGCACGGGUGAGUAACACGUAUCCAACCUGCCGAUUAUUCCGGGAUAGCCUUUCGAAAGAAAGAUUAAUACUGGAUAGCAUAACGAGAAGGCAUCUUCUUGUUAUUAAAGAAUUUCGAUAAUCGAUGGGGAUGCGUUCCAUUAGUUUGUUGGCGGGGUAACGGCCCACCAAGACAUCGAUGGAUAGGGGUUCUGAGAGGAAGGUCCCCCACAUUGGAACUGAGACACGGUCCACACUCCUACGGGAGGCAGCAGUGAGGAAUAUUGGUCAAUGGACGAGAGUCUGAACCAGCCAAGUAGCGUGAAGGAUGACUGCCCUAUGGGUUGUAAACUUCUUUUAUAUGGGAAUAAAGUGGGCCACGUGUGGCUUUUUGUAUGUACCAUACGAAUAAGGAUCGGCUAACUCCGUG
rnacentral:rRNA from 1 species